CAUUACCUCUCCGCAUCGAUUUGCCAUCGAUCCCCAAAUCCAUUAUCCAUCCGGAGUUCCGGACCCCGAUUCACCUCGCCGCCCGGCGCACUUCACCCCCCGGCGCAUCCCGUCCUCCGUCGUGCAUUCCCUCCCUUGCUCGCCGCGCGGAAUCAGUUGCGCGAUGCAAGUGUCAAUCUGUUCUCAUCUGCUCACGUUUUACCACCUCCUGAUUUGCCUUACAACAUCGAGGUUUCGUCAAAUCGGGACCCUUCUGCUGCAUUCUUAUGUGGACAACACAGCCAACCAGGUAAAGUUUAUACUGAUUUUUCAGCACUUAAUAUAUAUUUUCCCCCAUGAAAAUACAUACUGGUCUGUAUUAUCACUAUUAUUAUCAUCAUUGAACCUGAGAAAAUAAAAUUGUACUUUCUGUUUGUUGCCGAUCGAUGUGGGGCAUUACGAUUGAGCCUUGCACGAGACCUUACUAGUUUCUUACUGAGCAUUUUGCAUUUACUUUUUGGUAUCGAACUGCAAGCAUGAGCCUGAAGAGGGUGCAGAGAGCCCUAAAUAGAAGAAACAAAGUGUGUUCUCGAGGUCUUUUGAAUGCACAAGCUUGUUUAUAAAGUGGCUGGAAGCAGAGGCCCACAGUAAGUCAUUCUGACUUUGGCCAGUUUGGUUAGAAGUCAUCGUAAUGGCUAGAGGGUUGGUGCUUCUAAUCAUUUCUCAUCCUCUUAUAAGGCAUAUGAUGGUUAGUUCAGCUCACUUUAUCAGAUCGAGGUGUUUAUCCCACCGAAACAACGUGCCAAUGGGAAGGAUUUUAUAAUUUAAACUAUAAUUUUCUAUUUGCAGUAUUAAGAAUAGUUUACGUUGUAUUUGUCCAGAAGAUAAGAUUAUUAAUGACCUCACGUGGGGAAGUGAAGCAUAGAAACAAGGGUAGCAGACUUGAUUGCAGAGCUUUAAGCUGUCACUUGUAAAAUCAAGAAGGUAUGGUGGUCAAUUUCUCUUAAUUUUGGUGGGAAUCUUGUUGGUAUGAACUUUUAUGAUGGAUAUGAAGAAACUCUUUUCCUGCCAAAGAGUAAGAUUGUCAGCUUUUUAAAGAGAAAGAUGGGUGUCCCACUGGCCACUACCAUCGGAAAGAGGAUUGAAUCAUCCUGAGGACAUACAAGGAGGGUGGAAGGAAAAUAUGUAUUCUGUAUUCUUUCUUUUUCUCAAUGCAUCUUGUUUGUGGUAGCACAUCUUGUUUAUUCGACUUCGAACUUACAUUGAAAAAAAAAUCAGAUAACAGGUGGUCCGUACGUGCCUGACACACAUUGGUAUCACUGUAUACUUGAGGUGGAUAGGUGGGCCAUGCCCAACCUUACUGGAAGGACUCUCCAAUAGACAUCACUCAUGUUGUUGGAGUAGAAUUGUGUAUCAUUGUCCUCCUUGUUCUGCCUAUCUAAGCAAGAAUCUGAUGGACUUGUAGUUCCGGGUUUAUUGUAUUGUGUUGUCUAGCAAGUAUUUGACAGAUCUGUAUAGAAUACAUGCAAGUUAGACUGGUCUUAGCGUUUUUUUUGUUGGAAACGUGAGCUUUAUUACUUUUAAUUUUUAUUGGCUUGACUGUUGUCUUUUUUUUUGUUGGAAACGUGUACUUUAUUAUUAAUCUAAAACACCAAAUUUGUCAACUGAGAUAUAUUUUCUCUUGCAAGAGAUCCAGUUCUUAUGAAACAAUGCCGACAACAUGCAUAUUCUUCACUGUUACUUAUCUUAGUUGGAAGCUUUGAGGGCAAGCGUCUAGGGUGGGCAUAUGCAGUAUAGUAUAUACAUAGUGCGGUCACCUGAAUAUUGAUCUUUAAUAUUAGGCGGAUCACACUUUGUCCAGACUGCACCACACAUGUGUUGUUUCCUACCAGCACCAUAAUUUUUUGUUCUUCAUAUUAGCUUUUCAUACCUACCUAUGUUGGAAGUGUUAAUAUAUAAUUUUUGUAAACCUUGCAGCUGGCUCUGUUGGCCUCGGUGAACAGAGAUCCCCUCUUGGUAGUAUAUCUAGUGUUGAGCCACAUUCCACAAGGAAUCCAGUUGGUGCCUCGUCCAGACAAAACAAUAUCUAAAACUAUCAAAGGCAAGUCAAAUUAUUUAUUAUUGCAUAGCAGUCUUUAGUUUAUGGAUAUGUAUCUAAAUCAGUGGCACCCUGUGCAGACUCUAUUUUAACAUGGGUACAGAAAUCCAUUUUUUCCCUUGCUUGCAUAGAGUACAUCUUUCAUCAUUUAAGUACAGAUUACCUUUCCUGUGUCUGUGUGUUCCCAGGCCUUUUUAUUCAAUAUACCAGAUUGAUCAUUUUGUUCUUCCUUUUCUUUUGCAUAGCCAUCACCUCUGGAUUUUAAAGCCAGCCCCAUACUGUACAUCGGUGUAGUAAAGAACUGAAAUCUCCCGAUACCUCUCUUUGUGUUCAAAUUUCAUGACUGCAACUUGUGUUUAGCUCUGUUGCUAAAGUUGAGCAUCAACUUUUCAUAGCAUGCUAAAAUUUCGGAACUUGAGAUCCCUGUAAAAUUGCUAGCACAUUGUCAUCUAUGAUAUUAGAUCAUUACAUAUUCACAAUAGUCUAGGCUUGCUGGAAUUUGAUCAUUACAACAGCAUGGUGUUAUAAGUUGUUAACUGUUGGUAUCAUGCAGCCUUUCUGUGUGGUGCUGGUCGUUAUCAUGAGGAAAUCUCUCUGUUUGCGGCUUUGCUUAUCCCUUAUCCUUAUUUUCAUGGACAGUAUUCAAACAUGGGAGAUACAACAUUCAGAUUCUGUGCGUUAUCAGCUUGAUAUCAUUAUACUGAUGAUUACUGAAACAGCUUCACCUGUUUAUCUGAGAGCUCGAGGUGAUUCGCUUAAUUGAAUGGCUAAACUUAGUGUGUUAUGUAACACUGAAGUAAUGCAGGGGGCUUUGCGGACUUGCUUACAAGGGAAGAAAUGUGUUGCUUGCGCCAUAUUGCCAUCUGAAUUUAUUGUAAGGUGCCACCGCGCUCUGGGGGACAAUGUCCUUGUCCUCUGCUGUUAGUGCAUCUAUGUAGGGAUUGGUGCACUCGUUGUUGGUCAACACAGACCUCUUCUAUUUUCUUCUAUCUUUAUAUUUGUUGCAUUUUGUCAAAUAGUUCUUGGUAUGCAGUUAACUCAGCACUGAACGUGCAUUGUGGAUUGUUAAGAAAUAAAGGAUGUAUAUUCUCAAA